GGGAAGCAGGAGGGACCAUCCUCCAAGCCUAAAUACUACCUAGUGACCGAUAGCGCAUAGUACCGUGAGGGAAAGGUGAAAAGAACCCCGGGAGGGGAGUGAAAUAGAACCUGAAACCCUGCACUUACAAGCUGUGGGAGCACAUUACUUGUGUGACCGCGUACUUUUUGUAGAACGGGCCAACGAGUUACGUUAAGUAGCAAGGUUAAGCACUUAAGGUGUGGAGCCGUAGCGAAAGCGAGUCUUAAAUGGGCGAUUAAGUUACUUGGCGUAGACCCGAAACCGGGCGACCUAUCCAUGAGCAGGUUGAAGCGAAAGUAAAAUUUCGUGGAGGACCGAACCCACGAGCGUUGAAAAGCUCGGGGAUGACUUGUGGAUAGCGGUGAAAUUCCAAUCGAGCCCGGAGAUAGCUGGUUCUCCCCGAAAUAGCUUUAGGGCUAGCCUCAAGCGUAGAGAAACGGAGGUAGAGCACUGAAUGUCCUAGGGGGUAUUGCACUUACCGAAGACUAUCAAACUCCGAAUGCCGUAUUCUUUUGCUUGGGAGUCAGACUAUGGGUGAUAAGAUUCAUAGUCAAGAGGGCAACAGCCCAGAUCGUCAGCUAAGGUCCCUAAAUGUAAGUUAAGUGGUAAAGGAUGUGGAAUUGCACAGACAACCAGGAUGUUGGCUUAGAAGCAGCCACUCAUUUAAAGAGUGCGUAAUAGCUCACUGGUCGAGUGAUCCUGCGCCGAAAAUUUCCGGGGCUAAAACGUACUACCGAAGCUACGGCAUCAUUUAUGAUGGGUAGGGGAGCUUCGUAUGCAGGCUGAAGCAUGACCGUAAGGACAUGUGGACAGUAUACGAGUGAGAAUGUUGGCAUGAGUAGCGAGAUGUGGGUGAGAAUCCCACAGGCCGUAAACCCAAGGUUUCCAGGGGAAGGUUCGUCCGCCCUGGGUUAGUCAGGACCUAAGCCGAGGCCGAAAGGCGUAGGUGAUGGACAACAGGUUGAUAUUCCUGUACCGCCAAUAAGCGUUUGAGAGAUGGAGUGACACAGUAGGAUAAGCUAACCGUACUGUUGGUUAUGUACGGCUAAGCAUUGAGGCAGUCUAAAUAGGCAAAUCCGUUUAGACAAUGCUAGGAUGUGAUGGGGAAGCCCUUCGGGGCGAAGUAGCUGAUUUCACACUGUCAAGAAAAGCUUCUAUCGAGUUUAAAGGCGCCCGUACCGUAAACCGACACAGGUGGGUGAGGAGAGUAUCCUAAGGCCAGCGAGAGAACUGUUGUUAAGGAACUCGGCAAAAUGACCCCGUAACUUCGGGAGAAGGGGUGCCUGUCUAUGACAGGCCGCAGAGAAUAGGCCCAAGCGACUGUUUACCAAAAACACAGGUUUCUGCUAAGUCGCAAGACGAUGUAUAGGAGCUGACGCCUGCCCGGUGCUGGAAGGUUAAGGGGAUCUGUUAGAGCAAUCGAAGCAGUGAACUUAAGCCCCAGUAAACGGCGGCCGUAACUAUAACGGUCCUAAGGUAGCGAAAUUCCUUGUCGGGUAAGUUCCGACCCGCACGAAAGGCGUAACGAUUUGGGCACUGUCUCAACAA
rnacentral:rRNA from 1 species